AAACAUCGCCUCUUGCCUAAUCAUAAGAGGUCAAGCCUGCCCAGUGACAUUGUUCAACGGCCGCGGUAUCCUAACCGUGCGAAGGUAGCGUAAUCACUUGUUCUUUAAAUGAGGACUAGUAUGAACGGCUUCACGAGAGCUAUACUGUCUCCUUUAUCCAAUCAGUUAAACUAAUCUCCCCGUGAAGAAGCGGGGAUGAGCCUAUAAGACGAGAAGACCCUGUGGAGCUUUAAACAUCUUAAACAUUUGUACCUAAAUUAUUAAUCUUCCUGUAAAUUCCACUAAACCCAUCAUUCUGUUUUAAGUUUUAGGUUGGGGCGACCACGGAGAACAACCCACCCUCCACGUAGAAAGAACCUUAAUUCUAAGCUAAAAGCUACACCUUUAUGCAUCAACACAUUGACCUAAAUUGACCCAAUUAUUUUGAUCAACGGACCAAGUUACCCUAGGGAUAACAGCGCAAUCCGCCUUAAGAGCUCCUAUCGACAGGCGGGUUUACGACCUCGAUGUUGGAUCAGGGUAUCCUGGUGGUGCAGCAGCUACCAAUGGUUCGUUUGUUCAACGAUUAAAACCCU
rnacentral:rRNA from 1 species